CUUUGGGGUUCCUGGGUGUCACGCAGAUCUCGGUGGGACCUCCAAAUGAAAGAACCUAGUGGGGAAACCCCCACUCAGCUCCCGAUUCAGCAUGUACCCAAGAAUCACGAAUAGAACA
rnacentral:pre_miRNA from 7 species